rnacentral:lncRNA from 1 species
AUUGUUGUGGUCACACUAGAUACUGUCUUAAAGCUAUUAGAAGCUAUUCUUAAAAAGUCAAUUAGGAGGUGAGAAGGCAUCACAAUAGUGGAAUCUAACAAAAAAUUAUAAUAUGGAAGAUAUGGCAGAUAAACGUCAAAAUUCAAGUAUCAAAAAGAUAAGGCAGGUUCAUAGUCUUAAAAUUUAUCAAGUUGAUAAUGAGACAAAGCAAGAAAAUACCGCUCCACAAUAAAGGCACUGAGAGCUAGUACUAAGAAUAGCUAUUAUCUCUUAGAGACAAAUGGCAUCACCUUAAACAAUUAUA